GCUGCGACCAGUUGCCGGUGUUCAACGUUGCUGGAUUUCGUUUUCGUCUGCGACAUAGUGGCGUGGAUGGCCACGUUUCACCGGCCGACAGCCGAGGGCGCACUCUCGUGAAGUGGCCGCGCUGUGCCAAGCUGGGUUGUGCAACUUCUCUGAAGUUUGCCACCGCUCCCUCUUAGCGGCGGCUGGGCCGCUGCAUGCGCUGCGCCACCAUGGAGAGGGCUUCUCUGGUGGCGCUUUUUGUAACUACGCUGCGCAAGAGCCAAUAGCCAGCCUUCCAAGGUCACGACGGUCCCGGGGCGUCAGUACUGGGGCAUUGGGCAACACCCCUCCGACAGUCCUGUGC